AGUGAACGCUGGCGGUAGGCCUAACACAUGCAAGUCGAACGGCAGCACAGUAAGAGCUUGCUCUUACGGGUGGCGAGUGGCGGACGGGUGAGGAAUACAUCGGAAUCUACUUUUUCGUGGGGGAUAACGUAGGGAAACUUACGCUAAUACCGCAUACGACCUACGGGUGAAAGCAGGGGAUCUUCGGACCUUGCGCGAUUGAAUGAGCCGAUGUCGGAUUAGCUAGUUGGCGGGGUAAAGGCCCACCAAGGCGACGAUCCGUAGCCGGUCUGAGAGGAUGAUCGGCCACACUGGAACUGAGACACGGUCCAGACUCCUACGGGAGGCAGCAGUGGGGAAUAUUGGACAAUGGGCGCGAGCCUGAUCCAGCCAUACCGCGUGGGUGAAGAAGGCCUUCGGGUUGUGAAGCCCUUUUGUUGGGAAAGAAAAGCAGCAGGUUAAUACCCCGCUGUUCUGACGGUACCCAAAGAAUAAGCACCGGCUAACUUCGUG
rnacentral:rRNA from 1 species